rnacentral:rRNA from 1 species
GUCUUAUUGUUUUUAAUUUUAAGUCAAAUCUGCUCAAUGAAAUUUUAAAUUUUAAAUAGCUGCCGUAUAAAUAACUGUACAAAGGUAGCAUAAUAAUUAGUUUUUUAAUUAAAAACUAGAAUGAAAGAUUUAAUGAAAUAUAAACUUUCUUUAAUUUAUUUAAUAAAUUUUUUAAUUAAAUAAAAAAAUUUAAAUAAAAAAUAAAGACGAGAAGACCCUAAAGAAUUUUUAUAAUUUUUAUAUAUUUUUAUAUAAAAAUUAUUUUAAUUGGGGAAAUUUUAAAAUUUUUUUAAUUUUUAAUUAAAUUUAAACAUUAAUUUUUGAAUAAUUAAUAUUUUUUAAAAAAAUAAACUUUAAAUUACCUUAGGGAUAACAGCAUAAUUUUUUUUUGAAGUUCAAAUUUAAAAAAAAGUUUAU